rnacentral:lncRNA from 1 species
UCCUGUCAAUGCUGGGGAACUUGGAGGAGACUCCAGGACCCCUGGAGACUGGGGGAGGGGGGAAGAGGGGAGGGGAGAAGGGAGCGGGAAGGCCUUAAAUUCCGAGGGCUCGAGACCCCAGGAGGGAGCCCCGAAGCGGGAGUGACUUGCCACCUGCCGUGCUCCCCCCCAAAUCCCAGGAGCUCCUCGACGUCAGCCCAGAUUCCGUCCGACGGCCGUGCGGAGGCUUUCCCAGCCACAUUCCCUUGUGAAAGGGAACUUGCCACAAGUAAACGCAGGACUGUUCUGGUCCGGCGUUUUGUUUUCUCGUUUUCGCUGAGUUCCUUCACUUCACUUGGGGGGGGCGGGGGCGGGGGGGCACGGCGCUCCCUAACUCCGGGAGAGGAGCGAGGUCAACCCUCGGAACGUGCCCCCUGCGCACACGGAGCUGUCAGUGUCCGAGCGUCCGAGCCGCACAGGGGUCGCGGCCGGUCCCCAGCCCCGGUGCCCCAGCCCCGGUCCCCCAGCCCCGCGCCCGCUCGGCCGUGGACACAGCGCUGCCCGCGGGGACUCGAGCCCCGGCCCGACCCCGACCCGCCCCCGGCCCGCAGGAGCCCGCAGGAGCCCGGGCGGCGGGAGGGGCCGCGGCCGGGCCGGGAGCGGGGCCGAGGCCGGGGCCGGGGGCGGGGGCGGAGGCGGGAGCGGGCCGCCGCCCCACAGGCCGCGCCGGUAAAUCUGCUGCCUCAUCCCGGCGCCCCGCUCCCGCCCCACUCACGAUGCUCUCGGCCAUGGCGGCCGCUCCCGUCUCCGGGCUCGGGCCCCGGGCCGCCGCCGCCGCCUGCCGCCCCGCGGGCCUCGCAGCCCCGGCCCCGGCCUCAGCCCCGGCCUCCCGCCGCCGCCGCCACCGCCGCUCCAGCUUCGCCGCCGCCGCCGCCGCCGCCACCGCGCGACGUCCGGCGCCUCGUCCAACGCGCUCCGCCGGCUGCGCGGCCCCGAACCCGAGUUCCGGCGCUCCAAGGGCCCGCGCAUGCGCACACCAGGCGGCCGCGAGCUCGCGGGGGGGGCGGGGAGCAGGCGGGGGAGGGGCAGACGGUGGGGGAGGGGCAGACGGCGGGAGGAGACCGGGCGGGAGGGGGAGGAGAGAGUAGACGGAGUGGGGGGGGGACAGACGCGGGGGGGGGGGGGGGGGCAGGAGACCACGGGGGAGGACAAGGGGGGGCAGACAGGGGAGGGGCACACGGCGGGGGGGAGACCGGGCGGGAGAGGGAGGGGGGACAGACGGGAGAGGGCGAGAGACAGGGGAGGGGACAGAUGGGGGGGGAAGGACAGACGGGCGAGGGGCAGACGGGAGGGGGAGCAGCAGGGGGUGCAGACGGGGGAGGGGCAGAUGGGGAAGGGAGAGUAGACGGAGUGGGGGGACACACGAGUGGGGGGGACAGACGGGGGAACCGAUGGGAGGGGGCGGGAGAUGGGGGUGAUGAGCAGCGUGGGGGGGCAGAUAGGGGAGGGGCAGACAACGGUGGGGGGAGAGGAGAGAGUAGACGAGUCGGGGGGACAGACAGGGGGCGGGAGACCAGGCGGGGGCGGGGAGCAGACGGAAUGGGGGAGGGGGGGACAGACGGGGGGGGGGGUGGUAAGGAGAGUAGAGACAGAGUUAGGGGGACAGAUGGGGGGAACAGACGGGAGGGGCCGGGACACCAGACAGGGGAGGAGCAGCGAGAGGGAGGGCAGCAGAGGAGCAGAUGGGGGGAGAGGAGGCAGAGAAGGGGGGGAAGACAGGGGUGGGCAGGUGGAGGAGGGGAGUAG